rnacentral:tRNA from 5 species
GGGCCCGAAGUUUAAACGGUUGAACACUUCAUUUGCAAUGAAGAGGCAGGCGGUUCGAUUCCGCCCGGGUCCACCC